GGACAAUGGGAGCCGCAGUCGCGGAUGGGGGGGCUGCGUUGUUCCCUCACUCCAAACCGUCCCGACUCCGCCAUAGCGACCCCGCAGCACAGCCACGGGGAGCCGCCCCCCCGCCGCCGCCUCCUCCUCCUGUGCGCGGGGCACUCACCCGGUGUGCAGCAGGCACCCUGCUCGGAGCAGAAGGGAGGCGGAGGAGCGCUCCAGACACCCGCACGAUCGCCCACGGAACGAGGUGAGGCCGGCGGACCACGCAGCAGAGGGCUCGGCUGGCUGCGGCCGCUGUUUGUGUUGGUGUAAGGCGCUGCAAGGGGAGGAGGGGCCCCAACAGCUGAGAGGAUGUAAACAGAAGGUCACGUGACGCCGCCGUCGCAGGCAGCCGAGCCCCCUCCGCACCGGCCGGCUUUAAAGGGGGAGGGGAAGCAGCAGCGCUUCGCUCUCUGAUUGGUUACGCUCUGCGUGUCCGAAAGCCAAUAGGAGGAGAGCGUUAAGGGGCUGUCGUCAUCAGUCGCUAGGGGAUGUGGGGAUAAUCACCGUAGCGCCCGACGGCCUUCUCCAGGCCGGCCGGUGCCGGGCCGAGGCGGUGGGGCUGCUGUCACCGCUGUCCGCGCUGCGGCCGAGGACCACAGGCAGCCCCGCUUGUCAACGCAGAGGGACAGCGUUGAGGCCGGGGGGGUCCUGCAGCGUCCGGCCCCCCAGGGAGAGUCAGCUUGUUAGGCCUGAUGUUUGUAAAAGUACACAAAAUGAAUGAUGCCCGUCUGACAUUGUUCCACUUUCUCUGAGGCUGCUAAUUCGAGGGCAUUUUGACCUUGCUGUGACGAGACAAGCCCAGGGGAACAUUGUCACCUUCUCAAAUCCCGUUUGGGAAGGGCCUCCUGAGUGGAAAGUGGCACUGCUCUCCUCAGGGGGAAGGGCAUCCAGCUCGGAUGUGCCAGUGCUCCGAUGGAGAAUAUACAGUUUGUAGAGAUUUAAGGCUACUAGAUAUAAAAACCCAAAUAUACAUUACAAUUAAAGUAGCAGCUUUGGUAACUCGGUGACAUUUAAAACACUUUAAUCCGGAGUGGUUUAAGCAUUGCAGAAUGCAGCUGAGGGGCAUAAGGGUUUGAGUUUUAUCCAAAGUUUGAAUGCUGGUGGAACGGGAUUUCUAAGUGAAAGCCCCGAGAAAUGAAUUACAUAAAAACAUAGCUGUGGGCAUAAACAUUGGAUUAGGAAGGUCAUUCUGCCCUCUCAAAGCUCAAAAAAAGAUUCAAUAUUCAAGCCUAAUAGAAUAUUCUACUCAAGCACGUAUGAUUCACCCAUCUUCAAAACAGAAGUAAGGCACAUAUUUUCUGUUGCAGUUUAUAACUUGAAUCUGGAUGCAAAUUGUAUUUAUUGUCACAUCAUUUUAAAUUUGAGAUGUGCACAAACUGGACAUCCUUUCUUUUCAUUUGACUGUAAGUUAAUAUUCCUAAAAACAUAUGUCAGCUUAAAUAUUACAUGACAGGCCCUGUCAAAGUUCUGUAUAAAUCAACUGAGUUCAAAUCUCAUGUAAAGCACUUCUUAAAUUAAGAACAUCCCUUUACUUAUAUUAAAAGAAUGGGUUUUUAAGCUAAUGUGCCCCUCAAACUUCAAUAAUUAUUGGAAGUGGAUUGGGCUGGUUUGUUUGUUUUUUUUGUUUGCUGUUUUUUCUUUCUGUGCAAAUUCAAGCCUUGCUUAUUCUUUCAGGAUUUGAUAUUCUGUUAUUUUUUUUGAGAUCAUACAAAUAAAAUGUGAACUAGGUGAAUGACUCUAGUUCGUCUUCAUUCAGUGCUGCUGGUGCAGGUUAAAGCAUUUUCAUGUUUAGUAGAAAUAUGCAUACUUUAGACUUCUAUUUUUGUAUAUAAAUAUUAGAUAAAUUUGAUAUUUGCCACUAGUAAUCAUUAAGGUUAAAUACAGAAAUGUAGCUGUUACUACACUGAAAUGAAAAUCAGAUAUACAUAGCAAUUGAUAGUGGAAACUAUUCCAAAUAAAGACUGCCAUGUGUAUUGAUUAAUUAGGUAUACUGAAUUCCACAUUUUCACAGAAAAAAAGUUUUUGCAUGCUGGCCUUCAUAAAAAUGACAAUUGCUUAAAAAUAGAAUGGUGCAAAUAGCAUCCCUUGAACGUAGUCCUGUUGGCAUGAAAGUAACAAAUAAUGUGUAGUUUACAAUGCUUUUAUUUUUGUGCACAUUUCAGGUCAUAAAAAUCAUUUAUAUAUCAUUACAUUUAAUGUGGCUUUCCUUGAGUCAGUUUCAACUGUAUGUUCCGUGGUUCUGAAUAAUUGUUUUUAAAUACUUUCAUGUGCCUCAGGAAAUAUUUAAAAAAAAAUGAGUAAUUUUCUUGAAAUGUUAUUUUCAGGGAUAUUCAAUAACAAAAAUGGCCUAUAAAGCUUGGCCUUGUAAAACUAUUCAAAAUUUUUUUUUAUGUUCUGCAUUACAGUCAAAUUUCAAUAAAGUUAUAACAUUAUUAUGUUCUGUUGGAUUUUUUAGGUAUUAUCCAUACCAAGUAAGGAUUUCUUUCUUCCCUUGCUUAGCUGUGGAAAGGCUACACAAGGAGAAGGAUAUUAAAAAAACAAACAAACCCUACAUCUAAGCUAUGUUUUCAUUUGUUUAUUUCACAUUAUGGUGCAUGCAUUUUACACAGAUUUUUAGACAAUGUUGAAAGCUUACAAAUCAUUAUCAUUUUGAAAGACUGAUUUUUCAUUCUAGCUUUUACAUUUGCAUUAGCUUUUAGAAUAAUAGAAUCCUUAGAGUUGGAAGGCACCUCUAAAGACCAUCUAGUCUAACUCCCCUGCAACUAACAGGGACAACCACAGCUAGAUCAGGUUGCCUGGGGCCCAGUCCAGCCUUGCCUUGAAAGUCUCCAGGAUCAGGACAUGAACCACAACACUGGGCAACGUAUUUCAAUACCUCACCACCCUCACUGUAAAAAAAUUAUUCCUUAUAUUUAUAUUCUUUGAGCUUUUCUUCGAGAUGAGAGAAAAAGACAGAGUACAAAGAUAGAAACAUCCCAAAGCAUUUUAACUAUGGAUAUUUACUGUUGGAAGAAGUAAUUGAUUGAGACCUUGAAAUCUAAACAAUUAAAUAUCUAUUUAGAUUGAUCUGAAGAUCAGAAGUUGCUUGCUUUUACUCCACAAAAUAAGAAGUGUCUUUAUACCAUAAAUUACACUGAAAGCUGUUAUAUUUUUUAUGUUUAAAUCUUUUAACUUUGUGUAACUUUAUGAAGUACAACAUCCUGUUUCUUAUUUGUUCUACAUGUAACUAUUUUUUCUCAAGUUUCCACAACCUUGCUAGACUUCCUUCCUUCAAUCUAAUCUUAUUCUACUUUUUGUUUCAUCUUUAAUUAUCAAGUGUUUUAAAACUACAGUUGCUCUCCUACGUCUCUUUUCAUAUGCCUUAUCCUGAUAUUCAUGCUUUAAUAGAGUAUGUGCAUUCAGCUCUUAUUUUUUCCCCUUUUAUUUCAUUUCAUGGCCUUUUUUUUAUUAUUUUUGUGGAUUUUCAUUUUUGACAAGCCUUGAUUGAUCAUUUUACAGUUGUGUAGCAUACAGAGCAUUUGCUGUAUAAGUAGCAGUUACACUUCUCAGAUAUUGUCCUCUGUUCUCUAAAGUAUGUAUUAUUUCUGGGAAGAAGAUACAGUGAGCACAUACCUCAGACAGUAUCAUGUGUUGUCACCGGCAUAGCCUGUCUCAGGAAGAGUGCUCUGAAAUGCAGACGAACUGCAGUAUCUUUCUCCUGUCUCAAACAUUUGGUCUACCUGUUGCCAGACAAACCUCGACCCAAAUAAAACUCCUUAAGACAAAUGUGGGUAUUAAGAAGCAGGCAUUCUCUAAUACGGCCCCGGAUGCCCAGGGGAUAUUUCCUUUUUAAUGUGCACCCCAACAGAACAAAGGUACAUCCCUUAUACGCUAUGGGUACACUAUGCCUAAGUGCGUAGAGAGAGGUCUGCAGUUGUCAUGAGGUCUCGAUCCCACCUCUCUCGUUAACAUGUGUGUGUAGUUAACGAUGGGGUAAUCUCUCUUUUAGCAGUUUAGAUAGAUAUGCUAAUUUUUAAGAUGUUCCUAAAAGAAAAGAUUAGCUACACUGACAAUAUCCCCACAUUAAUAUAUUGUCUCAAAGUUAAAAAUACUGCACUGUUGAGAAAAUUACAAAUAACACAGAAGGAAAAGUAAUGAAAUCACUUCUGGAAAACGGUUAUUUUACCUUAAAUGUUUGGCCUGCUCACUGUACUUUUAAAAUGUAUCAGGUGUUAAUUCUUUUCUCCUAGAUAUUGCAACGUCCCUUUUGUUGCUCUUGUAUAUAUCCCAACAGCUACCAUGCUGUUUCCAGUGAUAUAUAGUAAGUAGUGCUCCAGUUCCCAGGAAGCUCUCAUGAAGUGCCAAAGCCACGUUGAGCCCGUUCACCUGCAUAAACAGCAUCAACCUGCUGACAGGUCACCAACCACCAGACCAGAUCGCCCAGAGCCACAUCAGCCUGGCCUUGAAUACCUCCAGGGAUGGAGCAUCCACAACCUCCUUGGGCAGUGCAGGAGCUACAGAGAUGAGAGAUGACAUUGGGAAAUACGUCAGAUCCUGUGAUUGGAAAUUUCAGUUUGUAUUAAGCUUCUGCUUAACUUCCUAAAAUUUGCAAUGCCUUCAGAAGGUCAGAAUUUUUCCCUUCUCUUGCGACUGCUUUUGCAAUCUGCGUUUCCCCGAGGUGCACAAUGCCCUCUGCUGGUGAACAGCUCGCAUACCAAGCCGGAUCACAAGACAUAACUAACAGCUGGAAAAUAUAAGGACUUCUUAAUUUUUUAUUUAUUCAGCUUUAAAUCUACCAGGUAUUCAAAGCACUAAUACUUAAACAGAGAUGCUAUGAAUCUUUAUUCAUCUUUAUUUAGCGUGCUCGUAGAAAAAAACACAGUUGAAACACUGCAUUUUAUCCCAACAUAUAUACACAUGGGAAGAUUUUGCCUAGAUAGUGCUCUGGUAAAGGUUUCCACUUUUGUAGAAAAAAGGAUUAAAAAAAUAAUUGAAAAUAAUUGGAUGAAGAAUGGACAUAGGCAACUUGUCUUCCCUAAUCCCAUCUCCCUGAUCAUAGAAUGGCCUGGGUUGAAAAGGACCACAAUGAUCAUCUAGUUUCAACCCCUCUGCCAUGGGCAGGGUCACCAAACACCAGACCAGGCUGCCCAGAGCCACAUCCAGCCUGGCCUUGAAUGCCUCCAGGCAAUUCAUCCACAACCUGUGAUAUUCCUUUCUUUGAAAACUGGGAAGAAGGAGGGGAUCAUAGAAAAGGAAAGAAAGAGUAUAUAUGAAGUGGUGGCUGGAAAUGAACUUCAAGCUGCAAGUAAGGAUGCUUUCCAUGGUCAUUUCAUUCCUAUUAUAUUCCAAAAGACAUGGAUUUAUACUCUCUAUCAACAGCAUCAGGACAAUAGAGGUGUACUUGAUAGAUACAUUACUAAGCUUCCUUGACCCAAGAUUUUAAACUCAGUGUUUAUGUAUAGUUUUGUAACUUUUUAAACACCAUCACUUUCCUAUGUCAAAGACUAUCAGUCUUAAAGUAUGCUAACCUUUACACUCGAGAAGGCAAAAUUUUAAGCAAGACAUGGCAAAAAAAAAGUGCAAAUGCCACACAUAGUACUUAUAAGAUUCCAGGAAGAAAGAAAAUAACAGAUACACAAAGCUUUUGUAAAAUUCAGACACGCUAUUUUGUUCUUCUUCAGCUGUAUUUAAAUACUACUGCUGCUGAAAGGUGUUGAGAUUAUCCAGAAUAAACCGAUUUAGACAUUAAAGAAA